rnacentral:piRNA from 1 species
UAAUUCUUGCCUGGAAUACUGCAGUCUCC